CAGAUGAAAACCUAGCUGCUUGGGUGGCCAUGGAUACGAAGGAUCGCCUGGCCGUGAAGUAUUUACUGGAUUUUAUCAAGGUAACUUUUUCCUAUGGGAUGCCUGAACUGGAAGAAGUGCAGAUGGAAGAGGAGGAAGAUGCUGAA